rnacentral:rRNA from 1 species
AGUUUGAUCAUGGCUCAGAUUGAACGCUGGCGGAAUGCUUUACACAUGCAAGUCGAGCGGCAGCGCGGGGGCAACCCUGGCGGCGAGCGGCGAACGGGUGAGUAACAUAUCGGAACGUACCCAGUCGUGGGGGAUAACUAUCCGAAAGGAUAGCUAAUACCGCAUACGUCCUGAGGGAGAAAGCGGGGGAUCGCAAGACCUCGCGCGAUUGGAGCGGCCGAUAUCGGAUUAGCUAGUUGGUGGGGUAAAGGCUCACCAAGGCGACGAUCCGUAGCGGGUCUGAGAGGACGACCCGCCACACUGGAACUGAGACACGGUCCAGACUCCUACGGGAGGCAGCAGUGGGGAAUUUUGGACAAUGGGGGCAACCCUGAUCCAGCCAUUCCGCGUGAGUGAAGAAGGCCUUCGGGUUGUAAAGCUCUUUCAGCAGGAACGAAACGGUGGUCCCUAAUACGGACUACUAAUGACGGUACCUGAAGAAGAAGCACCGGCUAACUCCGUG